AAUCAACGCUGGCGGCGUGCCUCAGACAUGCAAGUCGAACGAUUAAAGCUCUCUUCGGAGAGUGCAUAGAGUGGCGCACGGGUGAGUAACACGUAAGUAAUCUACCUUCGAGUGGGGAAUAACGUCCGGAAACGGACGCUAAUACCGCAUAAUGCAGCGGCAUCGCAAGAUGACAGUUGUUAAAGGAGCAAUCCGCUUGAAGAGGAGCUUGCGGCAGAUUAGCUUGUUGGUAAGGUAACGGCUUACCAAGGCUACGAUCUGUAUCCGGUCUAAGAGGACGGUCGGACACACUGACACUGAAUAACGGGUCAGACUCCUACGGAGGCAGCAGUCGGGAAUUUUGGGCAAUGGGGAAACCCUGACCCAGCAACGCCGCGUGAAGGAUGAAGUAUUUCGGUAUGUAAACUUCGAAAGAAUAGGAAGAAUAAAUGACGGUACUAUUUAUAAGGUCCGGCUAACUACGUGCCAGCCGCCGCUGUAAU
rnacentral:rRNA from 1 species